GAUGAACGCUAGCGGCAGGCUUAAUACAUGCAAGUCGAGGGACAGCACAGGUAGCAAUACUGGGUGGUAACCGGCAAACGGGUGCGGAACACGUACACAACCUUCCUUUAAAUGGGGGAUAGCCCAGAGAAAUUUGGAUUAAUACCCCGUAAUAUAGUUGAAUGGCAUCAUUUGAUUAUUAUAGCUACGGCGCUUAAUGAUGGGUGUGCGGCUGAUUAGAUAGUUGGCGGGGUAACGGCCCACCAAGUCUACGAUCAGUAGCUGAUGUGAGAGCAUGAUCAGCCACACGGGCACUGAGACACGGGCCCGACUCCUACGGGAGGCAGCAGUAAGGAAUAUUGGUCAAUGGACGCAAGUCUGAACCAGCCAUGCCGCGUGAAGGAUUAAGGUCCUCUGGAUUGUAAACUUCUUUUAUUUGGGACGAAAAAGGGCCUUUCUAGGUCAACUGAUGGUACCAGAUGAAUAAGCACCGGCUAACUCCGUGCCAGCCGCCGCGGUAAAAC
rnacentral:rRNA from 1 species